GGGGCUGGCCGCAAGGCCCUGGUCCCACUAAAAGGCUGGGGAUGGUGCCC
rnacentral:sRNA from 12 species